UCACAAGGAUGAGGAGAGCGGGGAGGUGCUAAUCGAUCCCCGCUUAAUGAAUACGCUUGUUCAGAAGUCGCCGCAGAACCCGUCGUUUUCUGUCGAAGUUAUGAGACUUGGGGAGAUAGAUGGGCGACUACGGCGAGGGGUAGCGGAAGAGACCGAGUACAGCAGUAGCAGCUCCAGAGGAGGGUACAACUGGAGGAGAUGGAGAUGAACCUGAACCAGGGCUGUCACAAGAACAUGGUCCCUGUAAGCAUUGCCCAAAGAUGAAGGCAGUGUCUACCCAAAUGGAGUUAUCAUCCACAGUGGGGACACAGACCACUUCGGUGGAGGAUCUCUCUUUGCCAAUGUAAUGGCACAGGAAGACAUCUACGAGAUCCAUCUUCGUUUAUGUGAUCCUGAAGAACAACUCAAUCUAUGAUAUCCUGGGACAAAAGUCUAGAUUUUUCUUUUUUAAAAUUUAAAGGUGGAUGCCAUGUUUUCUUUCUCUAAUGUUUACAAAUAUUUUUAUUUUGAAAAUUUAAAGUACAUUUCUUAUUUUAAAAAAUGAAAUUAUUUAAUGAAAAUUAACUAAGGAAACAUGUUCUGGAUCGUUGUUUUCAUAAGUAAAUCACAACUUCUGAAUGUUGAAA